CGCGCAGGCGGUUGGAUCAGUCGAAUGUGAAAGCCCCCGGCUCAACUGGGGAGGGUCAUUCGAUACUGUCCGACUUGAAGGCAGGAGAGGGAAGCGGAAUUCCCGGUGUAGUGGUGAAAUGCGUAGAUAUCGGGAGGAACACCAGUGGCGAAGGCGGCUUUCUGGCCUGUUCUUGACGCUGAGGCGCGAAAGCUAGGGGAGCGAACG
rnacentral:rRNA from 1 species